rnacentral:rRNA from 1 species
GACGAACGCUGGCGGCGUGCUUAACACAUGCAAGUCGAACGGAAAGGCCCUGCUUUUGUGGGGUGCUCGAGUGGCGAACGGGUGAGUAACACGUGAGUAACCUGCCCUUGACUUUGGGAUAACUUCAGGAAACUGGGGCUAAUACCGGAUAGGAGCUCCUGCUGCAUGGUGGGGGUUGGAAAGUUUCGGCGGUUGGGGAUGGACUCGCGGCUUAUCAGCUUGUUGGUGGGGUAGUGGCUUACCAAGGCUUUGACGGGUAGCCGGCCUGAGAGGGUGACCGGCCACAUUGGGACUGAAAUGCGGCACGGACUCCAACGGGAGGCAGGAGUGGGGAAUGUUGCACAAGGGGCGGAGGCCUAAUGCAGCAACGCCGCGUGCGGGAUGACGGCCUUCGGUUUGUAAACCGCUUUCGCCUGUGACGAAGCGUGAGUGACGGUAAUGGGUAAAGAAGCACCGGCUAACUACGUG